rnacentral:lncRNA from 7 species
CCCCUCCCUCAGAUCCCUCCCUCUCCUCAGUAGCAAAAACACAGCACCAGACGACGACCGAUUCGAUCCACCAAACGCAGCUACAGCAGCUGCUGCUUAGCUCCUCUCCUCUCCUGGAUUCUUCUCGGGAAUAGUGGACUCCUAGUCGUCUGCUCCGUCGGCCUCGGUGAGAUCGAAAUCGAAGAAUGGGUGCAGAAGAGAGGCCAUGGACGCAACGCAACCAACAAUGCAUAGUGCAAACCAUCGUUGCUGCUGGGCCGGCUUCUUUAGUCAGUCACAAGGCCCGAAUAUCCUCCACGCUUG